ensembl:lncRNA
GCAUACCUUUCGGCGCGGCGUCUAACAAUGUCGUUGCACCCCGCUAGCCUCCAAAACCUGAUGAAUGUCCUUAUACCAUAUUGGUAUUAAUUCAAUGCUACUCGCGGAGGGGAGCAGGCAACGCAAACUUUUGAUCUGUAACCUUCGGUGAGGCUAAAGGAAUGCAGGGGCGAGAGUCCCGAUCUCAAUGUAAAGGACAGUUCACCGGUCAGCCAUAGACACUGCAGACCUGUCCCUCAACCUAAGAGAGCACCUCUAACACGAACCGGCCAGUGGUGUUUGUAUGUAUGUAUGUAUGCAUGUGUGUCUAACUGUGUAUGCGUGUAUAUGCACUGCACAUAUGAAGAUACACACAAGGCCUAACCACGCUACGCGAACUGUGGCAUCACUGUCAACUCAUAGCCAUCUCUUAACCCUCUUACGAUAGAGAUAGUGUGGAGGGCCACUCCGUAUAUUCAGUUAGCAUCCCCGGACACAAAGGAUUUAGCAAUAACCAACCGUUGUGCAGCUCAGCACCAGCCUCUAGUGGUCAGGGUGGGUACUCUUGUUCCUGCAGCGUACCAUAUUAAAUGACUACUUUGAUAAUGCUUGGGAAAUUAUGAAUUUUGUGCUAAUGGAAUAAAAUGCUGCGGAAUAAUAACCAUGGGGUGAAUAUACAGCCCACACACAUGAAAGUGUUACCAAUGUUAGUCACAGGUGGAAGCUACCCGGGACAAGAGACCGAUUCAGGCUUGGAUUAUUGAUGGAUCCUUGACCUGUUUUUGGUAUUCUUACUUUUGUGACAUAAAUGAUGUGUUAACUCUAGAGGCAUUCGACAGGUCCCCAAUAUGAUUGUCACUAUCAUCAUCAAUGUAGUAAUAUUUUUCUUUUCAUAGUUGAGUAAAGUAACUCACCCUAUACUUGCAAUGCAUUUUCCAACAGAAGGUGGGUAAACUUGUUUGUCAUUCAAAAAUGCUAACUUGGUGAGAAUUGGUUCCACAUUGAGGUGAAAUCAUCCAGGCUAUUCAAGUAUUAUGAAAUUAUACAAUUAUAUAAUAUUAAAAAAUGUAAGUCUUAAUGCGGAGCCCCAAGAAAUCAUUCACGGGCACAUGGCGCCCUCUUAUGGACAAGCCCUUAAGUGUAAUAAAGUCAGUUACUAUGUUUACCAUAUUGCUAUAGACAUUGUGGUUAUUGGUGUAAAUAAAGGC